UACGUAGGGACCAAGCGUUGUUCGGAUUUACUGGCGUAAAGGGCGCGUAGGCGGCAAUUCAAGUCAGCUGUGAAAUCUCCGGGCUUAACUCGGAACGGUCAGCUGAUACUGCUUUGCUAGAGUGCAGAAGGGGCAAUCGGAAUUCUUGGUGUAGCGGUGAAAUGCGUAGAUAUCAAGAGGAACACCUGAGGUGAAGACGGGUUGCUGGGCUGACACUGACGCUGAGGCGCGAAAGCUAGGGUAGCAAACGGG
rnacentral:rRNA from 1 species